rnacentral:rRNA from 1 species
CUACGGGGGGCAGCAGUGGGGAAUAUUGGACAAUGGGGGAAACCCUGAUCCAGCAAUGCCGCGUGUGUGAAGAAGGCCUGCGGGUUGUAAAGCACUUUCGGUUGGGAGGACUGCUUCUAGCACUAAUAUUGUUGGAAGUUGACGUUACCUUCAGAAGAAGCACCGGCUAACUCCGUGCCAGCAGCCGCGGUAAUACGAAGGGUGCAAGCGUUAAGCGGAAUUACUGGGCGUAAAGCGCGCGUAGGCGGCUAGAUCAGUCGGGUGUGAAAGCCCCGGGCUUAACCUGGGAACUGCAUCCGAUACUGUCUAGCUUGAGUGCAGGAGAGGAGAGUGGAAUUCCACAUGUAGCGGUGAAAUGCGUAGAUAUGUGGAGGAACACCAAUGGCGAAGGCAGCUCUCUGGCCUGAUACUGACGCUGAGGUGCGAAAGCGUGGGGAGCAAACAGGAUUAGAUACCCGUGUAGUC